rnacentral:tRNA from 1 species
UGCGCCCGUAGCUCAGCUGGAUAGAGCGUCGGACUUCGAAUCCGCAGGUCGCGCGUUCGAAUCGCGCCGGGCGUAU